AAUUUGGUUUUUUUUUUUUUUAAAAAAAAAAAAAAAAACUCGAAGGUUCCAAAGAGAAGGAAAGAGAGGAAGAGCAGAGAGAUUCAAACCCAAAAUUCAAAACCAAUCAGACAAAUCAAACCCAAAACUCAAAAUCAAAAAUCAAAUCCACAAAUUAAACCCACAAAUUAAAACCAAAAAUCAAACCCAAAGAGAUUUAAAUCAAAAUAAAAAAUCAAACCCAGAGAUAUUCAUAUCAAAACUGUGUGUGUGGCAGAAAGAUGAGAUGAGAUGAGAGAGAGCCAUAAUAAUAGAGAGGGAGAGAGAGAGAGUUAUCCAUGCAUUUAAGAAAGCGUGGCCGGCAUUGAUGGCCAUUGAAUGAUUCACCACCCACCUUACCUAAACUUCAUUAAUAAGUGGCUCAUUAAUUUCCCUCACCUUUAUCACUAUCGUAUUUGACCAUAAGUGUCCAUUUCAUACACUCUCUCCUAACACACAGAAACACACAAGAGAAAGAGAGAAAAAGAGUCUCUUAUGUGUGUAUACAGAUCUAUUCCCCUACUCUGUUUUCAAAAGGAAAAAGAGAAGAAGGAAGCUAGAGAGGGGGAAUAGAUCUGUAUACACACAGAGGAGACUCUUUUUCUCUCUUUCUCUUGUGUGUGUUUGUGUAUUAGGAGGGAGUGCAUGAAAUGGACACUUAUGGUCAAAUACCACAAUGAUAGAGGUAAAAGAGAUUUAUGAGCCACUUAUUAAUAAAGUUUAGGUAAGGUGGGUGGUGAAGCAUUCAAUGGCCAUCAAUGCCGGCCAUGCUUUCUUAAGUAAUUGGAAAUAAAGCCGCAGUAUGCCUUUGUUUGGGGGUUUAAAAGCCACUUUUGUCACUGGAUAUGGAAUACUGUUGCAAGACUUCCUUUUUGAGACAUCUGAUGGUAGCCCUCUCACUUCAGCUUUUGGAUGUCCUCUUGUUGAGACAGUGGCAGACGAGUUGACCAUAAAAAAUUGGAAAUAGAGCCACAGUAUCCUUUAUUUGAAGGCUGGAAGGCCACUUUUGUCAUUGGAUAUGGACUACCAUUGCAAGGCUUCCUUUUUGAGUGAUCUGAUGGUAGGCGUUACCUCAACUUCAGGUUUUGGAUGUCCUCUUGUUGAGACAGUAGUAGACGAGUUGACCAUCAAAGUGAUUCUGCCAGAGGGAUCAAAACACGCUUCUGCUGUGGUUCCUUUUCCACUGCAACAACAUCUAGAGCGAAAUUUCAUGAGUGCAGACCAGUUGCUCAUAUCUUGACGUCAUUGGAAACAUUGUAGCAGUGGUGGUUCCUGGACACAAAGUCUACUUUCCAGGUGAUUUACUAACUUAUUGUGCUGAUUUUCAGAUUUGCCUUAGCAUUAGUUCUUUUCGGCCUUGAGUUAUAACAAGAUUAAGGAUAAUUUUGGAUGAUUUUGAGGUUUGAUGCAUGUAUGUUGAGAAUUAGUUUAAUUUUUUAAGACAAAUGAAGCAUACACACGAGACACAACAAGUACAGACGUUGUCGUUUGUACAACAUUUGGGUAACUUGAAUAUUUAACAAAUGUUCAUAGAGACAUUAGUGAACAAACAAGACAUCUAAUACGGCAUGUUUAUACAAAACAUGUAAAAACAAGCUUAUGUUAUGUUUAAAAUUUUAUAUCUUUAUGUAGGCAUGUUAUUUACUGUUAUUUCUAACAGCUACUGAUUUAUUAUUUUUUAAAUAACAAAUAAAAAAAACUGCAAGACAUAAAUUAAAAAA